CUCGGGAGAUGAACGACAGCGGCAACAGCGGCGAGCGAAUUCCCCUUCGUGCUCCCUCUCGCUUCAACGCAAAAUAGGCGCGCGAGAGCACAGCUCACACGAAGCCAUCAGCUAUCUCAGGUCUGCUAGCCUUCGAACCCAGCGCAGAUUUC
rnacentral:lncRNA from 1 species